AUGGUCUUGAGAACAACAGGAAGUGUGUUGGUGGUCGUUCUCUGGUCUUUGACAGUGGUUCUGGGUCAGAGUGUGAACUACACCUCUCAGAGUAUCUGUGCCUUGAAGGGGUCAACAGUGGACCUGUCCUGUUAUUACUCAUAUCCCAGCGGUUACACAGUCAAGACACCCGAAUGGUAUUACUGGAAGGAUGGAAACAAUACUAAAAUCUCAGAUAAUUCUACAAGUCGUGUAUCAUACCAUGGGAAUAAGGUAAAUGACUGUACCCUGAGAAUCACAGACCUGAGAGAGGAAGACUCAGCAUCAUAUUACUUCAGUUUUACAACUGGAAAAUCAGGGAAACCUGGCUCCUCUGUCUACCUGACUGUCACAGGUAAUCACUCACACCUGUUUUAUUAUAAUUACCAAUUAAGGUACACUCAGCUAGAUGAGCCAGGUCCGGAUGCAGGAUCAAAUGUCUGAGGGGGCAUUUCGUUACAAUUGGGGGGUGUAUCUUAUUCAUAUAACAUUUGCAGUGUUUAUGGGGAAAAUAAACCUGCGGGAGCACAGAUUCUCUCUGGAGGGGCAAUGUACAAUUCACACCCCUCCACUUCUUGACUUCUGCAUGUGAACACAUUUGUUUAACACUGUUAAAGUGUGGUUGCCAUGGGAACCAAACAUUGGUAAAGUUGCGAAGAUCAACCUUGUAUCCCACACUCUGAGCAGAGGUAUAUAAUUGAGCCACUAUGUUGUUUUACUAUAGAUGUUGUGUUGGAGAUGGAGCCUACAUCUGUGUCAGAGGGGAACAGGGUCACUCUGACAUGUACAUCUAAAUGUAGUCUGGACCCCAACCCAGAAUACAGUUGGUAUAAGAAUGGACAGCCUAUAGAAAACACCAACACCAACUCUACUGUCCAUAUCCUCUCAGUCAGCAGUGAAGAUGCAGGCAAAUACUCCUGUGGUGUCAAAGGUCAUGAGCUGUCCGGUCUCCUGAAAAGACUCUCGAUGUCACAUGUAAGUAUAUUAAUUCUACAAACACACUGUAUAUUUCAAUGUCACAUGUAAGUACAAUAAUUCUACAUACACACUCUAUAUUUGCUAAAUUGCAUUCAUGUUCUCCUGAAUGCUGAUGGGCUGAUAUUUUCACUGUAUGACACAGGUGUGCCAUUACAUAACUUUUGAUUGUUACUAUUGGGUUGGUAAGCAGAUUUAAAUAGCAAAAAGGCAAUGAAGGUAAGAAUACAUCGAUCAGGUUGAGAUGCAUGGAUUGCAAUCUUCCAGGUAGGAUUACUAAUAAAACUGGCUAGUUGAAACGCCAGGAUUGCAACCUUCCAGGUAGGAUUACUAAUAAAACUGGCUGUUUGAUUGAUUGGCUGACUGGUUCAACCCAGAAUACAGUUGGUAUAAGAAUGGACAGCCUAUAGAAAACACCAACACCAACUCUACUGUCCAUAUCCUCUCAGUCAGCAGUGAAGAUGCAGGCAGAUACUCAUGUGGUGUCAAAGGUCAUGAGACUCUCUUGUCUCCUGAAAAGACUCUCAAUGUCACAUGUAAGUACAUUAAAGACACAGUGAAUUGUCCAUACUCACUGUAUAUAUAUACAGCUCCGGAAAGAAUUAAGAAACUUCUGCA
rnacentral:lncRNA from 1 species